ACACGUAGGGGCCUGACGUUGUUCGGAAUCAUUGGGCGUAAAGGGCGCGCAGGCGGCCGUCCAAGUCCGGUGUUAAAUGGUCGGGCUCAACCCGAUCAUGCGCUGGAAACUGGGCGGCUUGAGUCCCGUAGGGGAUGCCGGAAUUCCAGGUGUAGGGGUGAAAUCUGUAGAUAUCUGGAAGAACACCGAUGGCGAAGGCAGGCAUCUGGCCGGAGACUGACGCUGAGGCGCGAAGGCGCGGGGAGCGAACAGGUUUAGAUACCCUGGUAGUCCGCACAGUAAACGAUGAAUACUUGUUUUCAGCGAUAUAAUGUCGGAGGCAAAGCGAAAGCGAUAAGUAUUCCACCUGGGGAGUACGCCGGCAACGGUGAAACUCAAAGGAAUUGACGGGG
rnacentral:rRNA from 1 species